GGCUCCAGGCUCCAAGCUGUCAGCCCAGAGCUCCACGCUGGGGCUCGAACUCAUGAACCAGGAGAUCAUGACCUGAGUGGAAGUCACGCUUAACUGACUGAGCCACCCAGGCUCCGCCCCCCAGCUUUGUUUUCAAGAUCCCUUCUUGCCGUGAGGACAAGGAGUUCUGGUGGGGAGCUGUCAGAAGGCCGGGGACAUGGAACCUGAGGAAUCGAGCAACAACAGCAACGUUGAGACACUAGUGUAUAAUAACAGGAGCAAAAAGAUGAGUUUAAUGGAACAGGGGAGAGAAAGAAGAAAGGAGAGUUCUGUCUGCCUCUGAGGAAUUGAGGAUGUGGGUGUCCUGGAAAGGUGGGAAGAGGAGUCCUCCUUUUCUGGCCAUGUCCUUCUCUCAAGUGGGGGGAUGCCAGGCUCAAGGGGAGAAAAGAGCUAUCAUCCCUGGAGGAUGCUUCAAUUCUGGAAGUGCCCACACUUUGUCGGCUCGGAUGCACACCCUUUAGGAGGCGGAGGUGAAGGUGCCCCUGUGAGCCCACCAGACAACAUGGCCGCACGCCCAGCUCCACUGCUCUACUCUACCUUUGCCUAAAUCCUGCUCCCGGGCUCCUUUGAGGGCCAAAGAAGUGCAAGCCCACCGCGAAGAUACGGGAUCCCACAUGCUUGGCCCUGGCCUUUCCUGGACCGGGCCAGAGUGGGAGCUAGCGCUGUGGAAACAUCCAGGCGCCCAGUCAUUGCCUGGCCUCUGCCAAGUGUGCCCGGCCCCCAACCUCCUCGCCGCUCACCAUCCCUGACUCUCACUGCUCUGUCACCCCUUUGUUCACUUCCUAUAUUUUCACUCAGAUGUGGUUUAGUGUUUUCUUUCCAAGCCAUAUUUUGCACGGAAGAAUGCUUUCAGUGAGCUGAAGCCCUAAUUGCCAAAUAAUGGUUGCCAAAACAUGUUAUUUGGCUUCAAGCUGGUACAGAGCAAGAGGCGUUUUCUCCUUAUGGGAAAAAAAAAAAAAAAAAAAAAAAAACCCAAAAAAAACCCCACCAAAAAACACCCUUCUUCAGCAGCAGCCCAAGGGCCAUUCGCAAACGCACAAACUCCUUGGCCCUUCCUCUAGCGGAAGACGGUGGCUGGGCUCGGGUCGCCGUCUCGCGGCGGGGGGCCUGGCCCGGGGCGGGUGGAAGCCGGGGAGGGGCGGGGCUCCGGGCGGAGGGCUCCAGGCUGAGUGGCGGCCGCCGGCCGGGACUUGCCUCCCACCGCCCCGCCGCACUGGGACGCGCCUGCCAGAUAACUGCUAACACAAGCCGCCCAGCGAGCACGGGAAUUCCAAAUAGAGACAAAUCUGGGGCCCCCGGGGGGAAGCUGGAUGGAACCGAUCAGUACGAGAUAUAUCACUGCUAAUUAAGUCCUGAUCCCCUGGCUCCACUUGAAACAAACCAGGGAGGGAUCAAGUUUUAAGAGCAGGUGCUAACUGGUUGCAAAAGACAAGUCUGUCACUUCAGGAGAAGGUUUUGCAGGUAGCUCCUCGAGGACACAGCGCGGGAGCCCAGGGCUUGGUCGAGAAAAUCGGUUACUGGACAGAGCCACGGGCUCCUAUUUGUCUUAGGACACCACACCGGGAGCGCGGAAGAACCCUCUCGGCUGUAACAGGGAACUAUUUUCCUAUCUUCUGUUUCCCCCUUGAAAGCUGAUUGACUCUCCUUAGAUGGACAAUGGCCUGAUUUACAGGCAAGUAAACACUCUCCUGGAGACGCCAGUAGCCGUUUCUUUUCCGCACGGACAAUAUGGUAUUUGUUGGGGCUCAAAUGCCAGUCCAGAGUGGGCCUCACAUAACCUCCCACCCUGCUCUCUCCUUUCCCAGAUUGUUUAAGUAAAACACAUUCUGAGCACAAAUGUGUAAAUAAACUUAAUUGCAAAUAUUUACGUCAA